UCCGAAAAGUGCGGUGUCCUGGUGUUCCACGGGAGGGGAGGAGGAAGGUGCCUCGCUUUUCCAACGCCCUCUCCCUAGUCCCCCCCUACCCCCUUCCCCCGUGCGGCGCUCCCACGCUGAGUCGCUGACCAGUGCCUCGGCCUCCCCUGACGUCUCGCGCCAUCUCGUCUCCGCUCGCAUCCUCCUCACUCGUCGCGUGCGCCGCUAGCCCAGCGGCCCACUCGAGUCGGAUCGAGCGCCGGGGGACGGCAUGGCCGGCGACGACGGCAGCAGCGCGGGAGCGGGCGGGAGAAGAGGCGGCACGGAAGAUGAGGUCCAGAUACAGAUCGCAGGAUCAUCCAAACCUAAAACUUCUUCUACUAACGAAACAGCUACCCAAAGCUCUCCUACCAAGCAUUGGCAUUGGUGGUUGAUGAUUGUUCUAAACAUUUUCUUCCUCAUUGCUGGUCAGACAGCAUCAACACUCCUUGGGAGGUUCUACUACAACCAGGGUGGAAAUAGCAAGUGGAUGUCAACAUUUGUCCAAACUGCUGGCUUUCCUGUGCUAUUCAUCGCCCUAUAUCUGUUUCAUUCAAAAUCUACGCAAACAGCCACCACUAGCCCUGAGACUUCUGGCACCAAAAUUACUCUGAUAUAUAUUGCCUUGGGGCUCAUCAUUGCUGCAGACGACUUGAUGUAUUCCUAUGGCCUAUUAUACCUUCCAGUAUCAACGUAUUCGCUCAUAUGUGCUAGUCAGCUGGCCUUCAAUGCUGUCUUCUCAUAUUUCCUCAAUGCUCAAAAGUUCACUGCACUGAUUUUCAACUCUGUAGUCCUCCUUACCUUUUCUGCUGCACUCCUUGGAGUUGAUGAAGAUUCUCAGGGCACUAAUGGUUUAUCGCAUGGGAAGUACAUAUUGGGUUUCGUGUUGACGCUAGGAGCAUCAGCCGCAUACUCCCUGAUUCUCUCUUUGAUGCAAGUUACAUUUGAGAAGGUUAUUAAGAGGGAGACUUUCUCAGUCGUCUUGAACAUGCAGAUAUAUACAGCACUUGUGGCAACAAUAGCUUCUCUUAUUGGGUUAUUUGCAAGUGGUGAAUGGAAGAUUUUAGAGGGAGAGAUGCAUGCCUUCGGCUCAGGGAAGCUGUCCUAUGUGAUGACACUUCUGUGGACAGCUAUAUCUUGGCAGAUAGCUUCGGUUGGAGUGGCGGGUUUGAUCUUUGUGGUGUCAUCACUCUUUUCAAAUGUGAUAAGCACACUAGCUCUACCCAUCAUUCCAGUUUUUGCUGUGAUUUUCUUCCACGACAAGAUGGAUGGAGUGAAGAUUAUUGCUAUGUUGAUGGCCAUCUGGGGAUUUAUUUCAUAUGGCUACCAGUUAUAUGUUAAUGACAAGAAAGCUAGGAAGACUUCAGUUAGUGUGGAGGAGAGUUCCUAAGUGCUUGUUACAUUGUUCCCCAUGCUCCUGCCAAAAUAAGUUGUUGGCACUGCAGGGAGUGAGUUUGGGUGGGAAGUUGCUAAUUCAUGUCAUCAGCUAACAACUUUAGUACCACUUCGACUCGUAUUUUUAAGUAAGUUCUUGCCUCAUGUUGACAUAUUGUGCUGCUUGAUCUGAAAAAUCAUGUCGUCAUCACUUUGAAAUUUCUGACCAUGAAAGAACCAAUCGAACAAAUUCUUAUUCUACAUUUGAAAGGUACAGGCUGAAAUAUAAGGUAUGAUUUGAUUUCUCCCGACUCUCUAACAAAAAUUCACAUUCAUAACUUUCUGAGUUUCAUGGUUUCAUAAUGAAUCAGAAUUCCACCAAGAAAUAGAUUCUAUAUGUAUUACUGGCAGAGUAUGGAUGGACAGCAUCUGUGAUUUCUUGAUCCUCAUGCUGAUGAAGCAGUAUCAUGAAUCCUUGCCAACAUGUCUGAAUCAUGAUGUAGCAGGAUACUAAAGAUGUGUAGUUAACUGUGUCAAACUCCGUACAUGAAUAAGAUAAGGAAAAUAUAUAAUUGGAUUUUGUCAGGUCUUAAAGUGGUAGUGCAAGCUAUUAGUUUACUUAUAUUUCGCUAAUCGGCGAUGUUAAAAAUUCAGAAAAGGUGUUUCAUUGUGAUACAUUCAGUGGUUUCAUAUACUUUACCGUUGAAUCGGACUCGGAUAAUCAUCCAUGGUUUCUUAGCUUUUUUGCAACAUCUAUGCGAAACCCAACUGAGCCACAUUGUUUUCAGCUGAACCUAUCUGCGUCCAACUUGGAUUUUACUGUUUCAGAUAUCUCACGGAGAAAAUCUGCAACUGGUGAACCUGAGAUAUUGUAUUGCUAUGGCAUAUUGAACAUGUUUUGGUCAUGAGGAUUCUGCAGCUUGCAUGAGUUGGCUGAUCAUACCAUAACAAUGGACCAUCUUCGUGCUUAUCCUUUGAUUGAUUUCGAUACAACCUUGAACACAAUUAUUAGAUGUUUGCAUUUUUAUGGGUUAUUAAAAUAUAUAUGUAAGCUUAUGAAAUAUUGGGGACUUGGGUUUUUCUGAAUCCAAUGCAAUAAUUGUUUCAGUCCA